AUUGAACGCUGGCGGCAGGCCUAACACAUGCAAGUCGAACGGUAACAGGAAGCAGCUUGCUGCUUUGCUGACGAGUGGCGGACGGGUGAGUAAUGUCUGGGAAACUGCCCGAUGGAGGGGGAUAACUACUGGAAACGGUAGCUAAUACCGCAUAACGUCGCAAGACCAAAGAGGGGGACCUUAGGGCCUCUUGCCAUCGGAUGAGCCCAGAUGGGAUGAGCUAGUAGGUGGGGUAACGGCCCACCUAGGCGACGAUCCCUAGCUGGUCUGAGAGGAUAACCAGCCACACUAGAACUGAGACACGGUCCAGGCGCCUACGUGAGGCAGCAGUGCGGAAUAUUGCACAAUGGGCGCAAGCCUGAUGCAACCAUGCCGCGUGUAUGAAGAAGGCCCUCGGGUUGUAAAGUACUUUCAGCGGGGAGGAAGGGAGUAAAGUUAAUACCUUUGCUCAUUGACGUUACCCGCAGAAGAAGCACCGGCUAACUCCGUG
rnacentral:rRNA from 1 species